CCUACGGGAGGCAGCAGUGAGGAAUAUUGGUCAAUGGGCGUAAGCCUGAACCAGCCAAGUCGCGUGAGGGAUGAAGGUUCUAUGGAUCGUAAACCUCUUUUAUAAGGGAAUAAAGAGUGGGAUGUGUCCUAUUUUGUAUGUACCUUAUGAAUAAGGAUCGGCUCACUCCGCGCCAGCCGCCGCGGUAAUACGGUGGAUCCGAGCGUUAACCGGAUUUAUUGGGCUUAAAGGGUGCGUAGGCGGCCCUUUAAGUUAGCGGUGAAAGUCUGUGGCUGAACCAGAGAAUUGCCGUUGAUACUGGGGGGCUUGAGUAUGUUUGAGGCAGGCGGAAUGCGUGGUGUAGCGGUGAAAUGCUUAGAGAUCACGCAGAACCCCGAUGGCGAAGGCAGCCUG
rnacentral:rRNA from 1 species